CGGGUCGCCGGGAGCCCUUGGGUGCAAACCCGGCCCCGCGGCCGCGCCCUCCCGCAGGACGAGCAGAGGCCUCCCGGGAUGGACCCUGCAAACCCCUGAACCCCCGGGAGAACCAGAAGCAGGCCCUCGUGGCUCUGCAAGCCCCGGGCGGUGCCCGCAUAGACUCAGGACCUGCCGGAGAACCUAGAGGAGCAGAUUUUAUUUAUUCAUUCAUGAGAGACACAGAAAGAGGCAGAGACAUAGGCAGACGAAGAAGCUGGCUCCCCGCGGGGACCCCCGACGCGGGACUCCAGGAGCAUGACCUGAGCCGAAGGCAGACGCUCAACCGCUGAGCCACCCAGGUGUCCCUCCAAUGCCAAUUCAUUUCAUUACACAAUACCAAAAAAUGAUACUUGGUUAUAUCAUCACUGGUUUUAUUGGAAAAGUGUUAAAGGAGUAGGACACUGUCAAGCUCAAAUUUUAUUUUUGGCAGCAAAUAUUGUCAAUUGGUUCCCCUGAAGUGAUGGGAUCACUUUAUUCGUUUUGGAGAUGUCUGCCAAAUACCCAAGUCCCGAUAACAAUAACAGUAGCUUGUUUUUCAGGUGUUCUUUCAAGUAAACUUGGUGUUCCAUGAAAGAAGAGGCUAAUUCAGCUUACAACUCAAACAACUACAUAGGUGUGUUUCCUCAGGGCAACAAUUGUACUUCUGGAAGUACUUUAGUACUUUACAAAAGACUUGCUCGAGUUGAAAUGAAUAGGAGUAAUGGUUUACUCUGCUUUAUCAAGGACAGUGUUAAGUGAACCUGCCUGUCUUUUCUUUCUAAUUUUAAGUGUGUGGUGGUGAAGAGAAUAGUGAUUACUAAUAUGGCUUGAUGCCACUACCUUGAUUCACUGCAGAGGGCCCGAGACCUACUCUUCCAUUGCUUUUACACUGAGUGCAGAUGUGGAAAAAAAAAAAGGCAAAUUACAUUAUUCUGCAGAUAAUCUUGUCCUCCCUGACUCCCUAAAAAAGUCCUCAGGGGUCCUAAGAUUGCACCAUUGCCUUAGUCCAACCAGGAUUUGAGCUGAUUUGAUUGGAUAGUAUAGUCUGUGAAAGGUGGUACAGUUCAUAUUCACCCUUAUUUCAGAGUACAGUUGGGGGUCCUAACUUAAUUCCUGGGCUGUUUAUCAGGAUACCUUCUCUUUGGUGGGCUUUGAGGUCUAAUUUUUGUCCACUACCACCACCCCUAAUCCUAGGUGGCUUGAGCUGGGCUCUCAGCAGCUUCUUUCAAAUUGGCAAAUGCCCUGGUGAUGCAAGCAACACCAAAUGUUAAGCUCUCUUCUCUGAGACCUUGACCCCUGUGCCAGGUUGAUUGCAAAAAAUAGCUUUGAUUCUUCAUCUGUAGUAGAUACAUACAAUGGAAUACUGCUCAGCCAUAACAAAGAAGGAAACCCUAUUGUUUGUGACAACACGGUUGAAAUGGAAGGGCAUUAUGCUGAGUGAAAUAGGCAAGACAGAGAAAGACAAAUACUACGGCAUUUUAAAGAGGGGAGGGGCACCUGGCUGGCUCCGUCGGUACCGCUUGAGACUCUCGAUCCUUAGAAUUGUGAGUUCGAGCCCUGUGUUGGGUAUAGAGAUUACCUAAACAAAUAGGUCAAACUCAUAGUAACAGAGAGUAGAGUAGUGGUUGUCAGGGGCUGGGGGCUGAGAGAAGUGGAGAGAGGUUGAUCAAGCUUUCAGUUAUGAGUAAGUUCUGAGGAGCUAAUGAUUUAUAGCACUGUUACUAUAAUUAAUAAUACUGCAUUGUAUCGCCCUUACCUUUGGGGGAUACAUUCCAAGACACCCCCCCAGGGAAUGCCUGAAACUGCAGAUAGUACUAAAUCCUAUCUGUACUGUUUUUCCUAUACAUAUACACUUAUGAUAACAUUUAAUUUAUAAGUUAGGCACAAUAUGAGAUUAAUAACAGUAAUUAAUAAAAUAAAACAAUCAUAACCUACUAUCAUAAAAAUUAUGUGAAUGUGGUUUCUCUCCCUCUCUCAAAAUACCGUACUGUACUCACAAUUCUUGUGAUGAUGAUGUGAGAUGAUAAAGUGCCUACAUGAUGAGGGGCACCAGGCUGGUGCAGUCGGUGGAGCAUGUGACUCCUGAUCCCAAUCUUGGGAUCAUGAGUUCAAAGCCCACAUUGGGCUUAGAGCUUACUUAAAAGAAAAAAAGUGCCUAUGUGAUGAGAUGAAGUGAGGUGUAUGAUCUAGGCAUUGCGAUAUAGUCUUAGGCCACUAUUGACCAUCUAAAUUUUUUUAAUUUUUAUUUAUUUAUGAUAGUCACAGAGAGAGAGGCAGAGACAUAGUCAGAGGGAGAAGCAGGCUCCAUGCACCGGGAGCCCGAUGUGGGACUCAAUCCCGGGUCUCCAGGAUCACGCCCUGGGCCAAAGGCAGGCGCCAAACCGCUGCGCCACCCAGGGAUCCCACACUAUUGACCAUCUAAAGAUACAUCAGGAAGACCAUCUGCUUCCAGACCAUAGUUGACCACCCCUGGUAAUUGAGACCACAAGUGACUGAAACCAUGGGAAGAAAGACCAUGGCUAAGUACUUGGAAUUUGCUGAGAGUACAUCUUUUUUUUUUUUUAAGCUUUUAUUUAUUUAUUGGAGGGAGAGAGAGCGAGAGAGCGAGAGAGCGUGAGCAUGAGGAGGGGAAGGGGCAGAGGGAGAGGACCCCAGGAUCCUGACUUGAGCUGAAGGCAGAUGCUUAACCGACUGAGCCACACAGGCAGCCCUUGCUGAGAGUGCAUCUUGUGUUCUCACACACACAUACAAAAAGCUAACUCUGUGAGGUAAUGGAUGUGUUAAUUAACUUGAUUGUGGGAAUCAUUUCUAAAUACAUAUGUAUAUCAAAUCAUUACUUUGUACACUUGAAAUAUAUAUAUUUGAAAUAUAUAUAUAUUUGUCAAUUACACUUCAAUGAAUCUGGGAGGAAAUUUUUUUUUUUAAAGAUGAUCUUCCUCUAUCCUAACUGCCUACUAUAAGCAGUUACUUAUAAGCUUCAAAUGAUCUCUACAAUUCUUUAUAGACAAUGGUUGGCAUUCAAAAACAGGAAUUGAAAAAGACAAGAAUUAAGUACCCAUCAGAAAAAAAAAGUACUAAAUAGAAACAUACCUGGAAGAAAGCAACCCAGUUUCUGAUUUCAUUCCAUAUCUAAGGUGAAUCUAUAUGAUAUAUAAAUGUAAAAAUAAAAAAGAGAAACAUA